rnacentral:lncRNA from 1 species
UCAGAUUAAGUUUUUGACCUGACAUUCGUCCGCCUAGUAUAGUUUUUUUUUUGGAAAUGGAGGUAUACCCCCGGCCUUUGCAUCAUGAUGAUGCAUGCAGCCCUUUUAUUAAAAAUCCCGAAAGUAACAACCCAAAGGUCUUACAGCUCGCAAACGGAGCGAAGCACAAGGCAUAAAAACUGAAAAGUACAAGCGGACAAAGACAACCGGUAUGGUAAUGAUGAGGACAAUCUCUCUAGAUUCCUAUUCUGUUAUGCGACCGCCAUCCGAACCGGUUGAAUAUAGCCCGAGCCACCAUCUCCCAUUGGUUGCACCCAGUAACCAAAGGCUCCCUGGAGUCCAUAGGAGUGAGUAAGGACCACGUACGGAUCCAAGCUGUAGCUCUGAGAUAACCUGCAAAAAAGUUAAGUUGUGUUGUCUGGUGAAUAUCAUAUCAUUUCUGCAAUUCCAUAUAGCCCAUAAUAAUGCACAUAUUCCAAUCCGAAUACGAGCUGCCAUGAACUUUUCAACCCCAGCUAACCACGUCCCAAACAAAGACGCAAUAUCUAUAGGGGGGUUGAUAUUAAAAGCUAUAUGAAUCGUUCUCCAAAGUAACUUGGCAAGUGGGCAUUCAAUAAAUAAAUGUUGUAUUGUCUCGUCUUGAGCACAGAACCAACACCGCGCGUUUCCUACCCAUCGCCUCUUAAUUAGGUUAUCCUUUAUGAGUAUUACUUGCUUGUGAACGAACCACAUGAAAAUUUUAAUCCGCAAAGGAACCUUAAUCUUCCAAAUAUGAAGUGAUCUUGAGAGGGGACCAGAAUUAAUCAAAUCCGUAUAAAAUGAUUUCACCGUAAAUAUCCCAUUCUUAGUUAACAUCCAGUGCAUGGAAUCUGGCAUGUUGGAGAGUCGAACUUCGAUCAACCUCCGAACCAGGUGCAUCCAGGCUGUCCAUCUCUCCCCCACUAACGUACGGCGGAACUGGAUGUUCAAGGGAAUAUUUUGAAAAACAUUACCUACGUAAUCUUCCUUACGUUGCACAAUAUUAUAAAGGGUAGGAUAUUGUAAGGCCAGAGGUGUCUCUCCUAGCCACGUGUCCUCCCAAAAUCUUGUUGACAUCCCGUUGCCAAUCACGAAUUUGAUCCUACGGAAGAACAAAUCUUUCGUUCUCAUAAGUCCCUUCCAGAACGGUGAAUCAUUCGGUCUGAUAGUAACCUGAGCUAGAGUUUUCGAGUGCAAGUAUUUAUUGCGUAGGAUUUGAGACCACAUGCCCUCCGGCUCUGUCUCUAACCUAUACAACCAUUUGCUCAUAAGGCAUUUAUUCUUAACUUCCAAGUUCUCAAUACCGAGCCCCCCUUGGUCUUUAGGUCGACAAAGGAUAUCCCAUCGUGCGAGACGGUACUUCCUCUUGGACUCCUCAGAUUGCCAAAAGAAACGAGAUCGAAAGAAAUCAAGCCGCUUGUGGACCCCUUUCGGAAUUUCGAAGAACGAAAGUAAAAACAUUGGCAUGCUAGUCAAUACGGAGUUAAUCAAAACUAGUCGACCUCCAUAUGACAUCAGCUUACCCUUCCAACAGGUGAGUUUUUUUUCAAUUCGUUCUUCAAUACAUUUCCAUUCCUUAUUGGAGAGCUUACGGUGGUGAAUCGGAAUACCCAAGUAACUAAAUGGUAAAGCACCGACUUCGCAUCCAAACAAUUGUCUGUAAGUAUGUUCCUCUUCUUUAGCCUUCCCAAAGCAGAACACCUCACUCUUAUGAAAAUUAAUUUUUAAUCCAGACAAUUGUUCGAAUAAACACAAUAUAAGUUUCAUAUUACGUGCCUUAGCCAUGUCAUGUUCCAUGAAAAGGAUAGUGUCAUCAGCAUAUUGUAGAAUGGACACUCCUCCAUCAAUCAGAUGAGGAACAAGACCUUCUACAUGGCCAUGUUGCUUGGCCCUGCCAAUAAUGACGGCCAGCAUAUCUGCCACAAUAUUGAACAGAAGAGGUGACAUGGAAUCCCCUUGUCUCAACCCCUUAUGCGUCUGGAAGUAGUGACCGAUAUCAUCGUUCACCUUAAUUCCGACACUACCUUUCUGGACUUGAGUAUUCACCUGGUGUCUCCAUCUUUCACUAAAACCCUUCAUACGCAUUGCCUGCUGAAGAAAAGGCCAUUUUACUUUAUCAUAAGCCUUCUCGAAAUCCACUUUUAAGAUAACCCCGUCUAGUUUCUUUGAAUGAAUUUCAUGGAGUGUUUCAUGUAAGACAACCACUCCUUCGAGUAUAUGUCGUCCAGACAUGAAAGCUGUCUGACUAGGUUGAACCACUGAGUGAGCAACUUGCGUCAAUCUAUUGGUUCCUACCUUUGUAAAAAUUUUAAAACUCACAUUCAGCAGGCAAAUGGGUCGGAAUUGUUCUAUUCUGACCGCCUCAUUCCUCUUUGGUAAUAAUGUUAUAGUACCAAAGUUGAGGUGAAACAACUCCAAAUGGCCAUCAAAAAAAUCAUGAAACAUAGGCGUAAGAUCAUCUUUAAUGAUAUGCCAACAUUUUUGAUAAAAUUCAGCUGGGAACCCAUCUGGUCCCGGUGCCUUAUUCGGCUUCAUUUGAGUUAUGGCCAGAUGAACUUCUUUUUCAGUAAACGGAGCCGAGAGAAUAUCAUUCUCCGCUGCCUGUAAUUGAGGUAUAUCAUCAAUCACCGACUCAUCAAGAGACACCGUGGAAGUAAUCGGGGGCCCAAAAAGGUUUUUAUAAUAAUUGGAAAUAUAUGAUUUCAGAUUUUCAUGCCCCACAAUUGUUCCUUCGUCUUGUUCAAGCUGUAUAAUCUUCUUCUUCCUAUGUUUACCAUUUGCAAUCAUAUGGAAGAACUGUGUAUUGUUGUCCCCUUGUACAACUUUAAGCGAUUUCGCACGCAGUACCCACUUGAGUUCCUCCUCUCUCAAGAGAGCACGUAGGCCUUGCUCAGCCUCUGACUUGGUGCGAUGCUCAAUCACAGAUAGAAGAGUUGUUUCAGCUUUUACAUCUAGUGCCUCAAUGAGUUGAGUUAGACUUUCUUUUUUCUUCUUGUAAACCCCACUCUCGUUCCUGGCCCAACCUCUCAGAAAUUGUCGGAGAUGUCUAAUCUUAUUCUGCCAUCUCUCGACAUGUGUCGUACCCAUAACUGGUAAAACCCAUUCGCGUGCAAUCAUCUCCAUAAAUCCUUCUCGCUCAAACCAACUUUGCUCGAAGGAAAAGGUAUUCUUGUUUGCAACAUGGGUAGCCUCUCCCGAAUCUAAAAGGAGUGGUGUAUGGUCCGAGAUCGCUCUUUGCAUCGUAUGAACCGACACCAUGGGAUAUUUUUGUUCCCACUCCACACUAGAAAGUACCCUAUCCAACUUCUCAUAUGUCGGAGUGGGUAACGAAUUAGCCCAUGUAAACUGUCUACCGGUGAGCUCAAUUUCUCUCAAAUUGAGACUCUCGAUAAUCAUGUUAAACAUCAUUGACCACCGGCCAUCGAAAUUGUCAUUAUUCUUUUCUUCUCUUCUCCGAAUGAUAUUAAAAUCUCCCCCGACUAGUAAUGGCAGAGUUUCAUCUCCACAAAUCCUCACUAAGUCGGCAAGAAAGUCAGGUUUAAAUUCAGGUUGCGCAGCCCCAUACACUGCAACUAGCGACCAUCGGAAUCCAUCCAAUUUUGAUCGCACCCUAAAUUUAACCUAAAAGUCUCCCUGCACUACAUUAAGCACCUCUAACGACUCACACGGUACACCUAGUAAAAUCCCACCGGAUCUUCCUCUAGGGGGUAGAAUGUGCCAAUCAAAGUCGAUACCACUGGACAAUGUUUGAAGAAAUUGGGAUGUGAAAUUAUCUCGUCCAGUUUCUAAAAGUGCAAUGAAAUCUAAGUGAUGCUCUAAAGUUGUCUCUGCUAAGAAUCUUUGUUUAGCCAAGUCUGCUAGACCUCUGCUAUUCCAAAAGAGUCCUUUCAUAGAUCAUCAUAGAAUUUUUUCUUAAGUUUUACUCUAGCGCUUCUACGUACUGCCGAAGUAGGAUAAAUUUUCCGCUUCCAGGGUCGUUUGGGCUUCUCCUCAACACCCUGCGGUACGGAAGAAUCAUCUAUAACAGAUAGUCCGUCCUCUCUCAAGAGAGUUUCGACCGUAUCUGUGUUCUCUACAUCCUCUUCCUCUUCAGCCUCGUCACUCGGUAAGAGAUUAUGACAAAUAUUUGUUAGAUCAUUAAUGCCUAAAUUGUUCAUGUCAUUAUCAUUUAAAGGUUGGACAGAGGCAAGAUUAUGAAUGAUCUCUGAAGCCCUCUCCGCUUCCAAGUCUAAAAGAUCGUUAACUGAUUUGACGACCUCGGUUUCAUUUGACCCCAAAGAAAUGCCUAAGUCAUUUGCCUUAUCAACAAUUUCAUUCUCAGAGAAGUAUAAAAUGGAACAACUUGUAUCAAAGGACGUACCUGCUGUGAUCUCAGCAUGACGCAGCAUGGCGGCCCUCUUGGCACGCGCUAACUGCAAGUCGUCCGCGUCCGGCUGUCCCUGGAUCCGGUUACUGACACGCCUGCCAGCCGACACCGGAUCCGCAAUCCCGCCAAAGGCGAUGAGCUCCUCUGUGGUCUUCCCGCCAAGGGUGCGGUCAGGACUCCCACGCCCCUCCCUUAUCGUCGGUGAAGGAGGGGAGGGCGCUGUGUAGUGGACAUCCGCCGCCUGUGCCACAGGGGAAAAGGACCGUGGAGACGCCUGCUCACAGAUCCCGCCCCCCUUGGCACCCGCGGACACCGCCGUCCCUCGACUGCCCUGAUCGAUGCAACAUGGUGGAGGAGUUGCGACACGGGACUCCUUCCCGCAUCUCACCCCCGAAGCGCCACUGCGGAGGAUAUGAUCCUGUGGAGGGGUUAUAGCACGGGACUCCUUCCCGCACCUCACCCCAGAUCGGCCAGAGACGUCAAAAUGGGGGAAGUGCCACAGACCUACUGUCUAGGCGCCCCUCCCGCAGCCACCCUCUCAGACACGGCCCGCGCCCCGGGUGUGGACUCCGCAAACGUCACAUCGCCGACUAGAUUCGGCACUGGUGGUAACUCAAGCUCGGCCGGGUCGUCUGCCUCAACCCUGGUGCUCCAUAACCGGCUAGGAGCCGACCCCGGUGCAAAAGAACCAAAACGAAGCGUGUUCACCGGAGUAGUGGACGAGGGCGCCUGUUUGGUAGAACUGGCUACUUUAUCUGGCGUAGGCCCCUUAUCCGACUCCGGCAGUACAUCAUCGGCGCCCUUCUCCUCAUUCCCGGGCGCACCACCACCCUCAGUCGUAUCCAUGUCAUGUGGUCCAUCUCCCUCCUCCGAGACUGCAGUAUCCUCAAUCUCGAGCUCUAAGAUAUAAGUGACUCCAGCAUGUGUUCAGCUGACCACAUCUGGUAUAUGCUCAACACUCACCACACUGACUAACAAUCUCGCUGCAUUUUGUGCGCGUGUGAAAGGCAUGUCAACCUUUUCUGUCUUACCAAUGAGACCACCCAAACUCCAAGCAAUCAGAAAAUGUUUUACAUAUUUAGGUGGCACCCCAUAAAAGCGAACCCAUACCUUCUGUAGAGGUGUACCUUCAGGUUCCUCCUGCUUCCACUCGUCGAAAGCGAUAACAAUGUUUGUACUCGUCACUCGGCAUAAACCCCACUUAAGAAAAUGCAUCUGAUCCUCUUUAGUGGGACAAUCAACCUUAUAAGACUGACCAUCUAACUGCUCCAGAAUCCAGUGGUGAUUACCCGGCACUAACUCACGUAACUGUCUGAUAAUCUGAGCUUCGGACAACUGCCCAUUAGUAACUCUGAUAGCAACCGGGAAAGAGCUCUCAACCAUCUGUGGUAGAGGAUCGACCUCCGGUGUCUCAAAAAACAUCAAUUCCUUACAGCAUACCCCAAAAAUGUUAAUGGCCGGCUUGGGACCGGAGAGAAGAGGGCAUUCCCCAGUCACAUGCUGGGAACGAAGACAAUACUCGCAAAGCUCAUUAGUACACUCUGCCACGAAGUGACCCGGCUCACCACAUCUAUAGCAAGGCAACUUCUUCUUCUUAAUCGCCCACUUAGAUAGUUUCUCUCCCUCCGCUUUCUCCGACCCUUUGUCAGACGUGCCCUCCCGAUGUUUGGUCCCUCCCGAAGUCACCGGAACCUGCACGGCUGCCAAAGCCCUAACCGCAUCAACUGCCGCUGCGGGUAACGUGGAUGGAUCUCCCACUGUAUCUGCCCCGUGCUCGAUCUCCUCACCCGACGCCUCCUCUAUAGCUGGCGGUGGUGGCGGUGGGUAGUGCCGUGGCGGUGGUGGCCGUUUCCCUCUCCCACCGCGGCGAUAGCCACCUCGGAAGCGAUCUCUGGGUCCGGCGACACCUUCAACGAAAUGACCGGGCGGCCCUUGAAAUUGUCGCGCGUCCUCAUCAGAAUAUCGAGUAAAGCCCCGGCCGCCACCGGACGAAGAUCCACGGUGUAUUCCCUCACCAUAUGCAUCGUAUCCGUCAUCUCCCCACUGCCCGUAUCGGUUGAAAUUCUUUCCAUCUCUACUGUAACCAGUAUAUCCACCACGCCCGUUCGCCCCGCGACCUCGUCCGAGGGCCAGAGCCUUGGCUGCCGGUGGCUGAGUUGGAUCCUCCUGCUGACGUACAGUGGACAGAGCAGCGUGCGUCGUCGCCGUAACCCUGGCAGAAUCGGUCGCCGCACCCUGCCGCAGGACGGUCGGAGCACCCCGGCCAGCUCCGGCUCUGGGUUUCGUCCCCGUAGCUGACGGUCUCUGAAGAUGCAGUCCGCCGCGCCCGGCAUUGCCAUUCACACCAGCCGGCAACGCGCCGCGGCCGGCGCCACCAGCGCCAGCCAUCAGCGGAACGCUACGCCCAACACCGCCCGCAGCGGCGGCUCCAAGAACCGGAGGAGCACCACGAGCAGUACCUCUCGUAGGAACGGCGCCGGCGGCACCAAGAACCGGAGGAGCACCACGACCAGUACCUCCCGUAGGAGCAGCGCCAGCAGCAGACGGCGGCCCUCGACCUGACAUGCCGCAUGCGCGAGAGACCCUCCUCGCCCGUCCCGGGCCGAGCGAAGGAAAACCCGAAGCCAAAACCCUAGAAUCAAUCGACGAUAUCCCUGGCAGUGUCGAUACAUGCACGUCCGGAUGAUUUGGAGACAGAGAGGCUUGGGCCUCUGGCUGGGCCUCGCCCGAACCGAGAGACUCCACGACCUUCGUUGUGUCCCGUAGUACAUCCACCGCAGGCCCAAGGCCCAAUAACGAGUUCAAACGAGCCCUUCUGGCUGCGCGAAUCUCGCUCGCCGAUUUCGCCACCGGCGAUCCUGGCGGCGGCGGCGGCCGGAAAAUCUUCCCUUUCUUCUUCUUCCUCGUGACCAUAGUCCAGUUUUCCGGCAAAAAAUCUGACAAAGUUACAGGUUCGCGGAUUACCUUAGGAAUUGGUCCGAUCCAUGGUUUCAUCGGCGGUUUGGAAAUGUGAACUUUGGAUCGACGGCGAAUUGUUGUGGCGUUAGGCUCCGGCAACACAGGCGCACCCUGCGAGGCCACAAGUGUUCUUGUGGGAACCUGAACCUCCACCUGUUCUUCGUCCUCGCUCUCCAAAAAUACCCAAAAACGUCCGCCCGGUCGUGAAGAAUCCGUCGGUGCCGUCAGAUCAACCACCUCCGGCGCCUUAGGACGUAAAUCUAUCUGCACACGCUCGCCAACAACCACUGCAUACGCAUCAAAAUUGAAUUGAAAACCUACCUCGAGCAUGCCGCCGUUCGGAAAGGGUUCGCCGACAAGAACGUCGUUCUCCAGAUCGAGAAGUGCCAGCCAAGUUGAGUGCGGAGAAAAACGAAGACGACCCUCGGUCCAGAUACCCGGAUCCGUCCCAGCAGAGAACAUCGCCCGCCAUUGGAUCCAUCUCCGCUCAUCCCGCCCGAUCUUCUUCUGCGUAGAAUCGCUGCGAUCCCCGCCCGAUCCUGGCAAACCCCCCUGUCCUCCCGGCGGCGCCUCCGGUAGAGGACUGAGAGAACACGGCCGGAUCUCCCCUACGUAGCCACCUGACGGGUGCCGCACCUCCGGAGAAAGAGAUCCGGUCGCCACCGGCGAG